rnacentral:misc_RNA from 1 species
AACGCACCUUGCGCCCUUUGGUAUUCCGAAGGGCACACCUGUUUGAGUGUCGUGAAAUUCUCAACCCUCUUCACUUUUGUGGACGUAGUGGAUUGGACUUGGAGGCUUUGCCGGGCUUCACCGCUCGGCUCCUCUCAAAUGCAUUAGUGCGUCUUGUUGCGACGUGCGCCUCGGUGUGAUAAUUAUCUACGCUGUGGUGUGCUUGCUUCUGUGGAGACGCGCUUUCUAACCGUCCGAAAGGACAGCUUUCAUCGAACUUUGACCUCAAAUCAGGUGGGACUACCCGCUGAACUUAA